UACGAAGGGGGCUAGCGUUGCUCGGAAUCACUGGGCGUAAAGCGCACGUAGGCGGAUCUUUAAGUCAGGGGUGAAAUCCCAAGGCUCAACCUUGGAACUGCCUUUGAUACUGGGGAUCUCGAGUCCGGAAGAGGUGAGUGGAAUUCCGAGUGUAGAGGUGAAAUUCGUAGAUAUUCGGAGGAACACCAGUGGCGAAGGCGGCUCACUGGUCCGGUACUGACGCUGAGGUGCGAAAGCGAUGGGGAGCAAACAGGGGAUUAAGAUGA
rnacentral:rRNA from 1 species